rnacentral:rRNA from 1 species
CCCUUAGAUGUCCGGGGCCGCACGCGCGCUACACUGAAGGAAUCAGCGUGGCUUUCUCCCUGACCCGAAAGGGUUGGGAAACCCGUUGAAUCUCCUUCGUGAUAGGGAUUGGGGCUUGAAAUUGUUCCCCAUGAACGAGGAAUUCCCAGUAAGCGCGAGUCAUAAGCUCGCGUUGAUUGCGUCCCUGCCCUUUGUACACACCGCCCGUCGCUACUACCGAUUGAACGGUUUAGUGAGGGCCUCGGAUUGGUCUCGGCCCGCUCUUCACCGGGCGGCGCCGUUGGUCGAGAAGACGCUCGAACUUGAUCGUUUAGAGGAAGUAAAAGUCGUAACA